UACUCUAAGAUUAACCCAUGCAUGUUUAUUGAAUAUAAAGAAAAGACGAACAGCUCAGUAACUCUUAUUUGAUUUGAUGUAUUAGGAUUCUAACUAUGUUAAAUUAUAGGUAACAAUAAUACAAUAAGAAUAAGAUCUAUCAGUUAGUUGUUAAGGUAAUGGCUUAACAAGACUAUGACGGAUAACGGUAUUACUUUGUAAUAUUCCGGAGAAGGAGCCUGAGAGAUUGCUACUAAGUCUAAGGAUUGCAGCAGGGGCGAAACUUGACCUAUGAUAUUAUAUUGAGGCAGUUAUGAGUAGUAUUUUAUAAUUAUUGUAGUAUUGUAAGUACAUAUUACAAGAUAAAUCGGAGGGCAAAUCGAGUGCCAGCAGCCGCGGUAAUACUUGUUCCGAUAGUGUGUAUGAUGAUUGAUGCAGUUAAAAAGUCUGUAGUUUAUUUUAUAAUAAGCAUUGUAAGGUAUACUGUAUGGUUAGGAGAGAGAUGAAAUGUGAUAACCCUAACUGGAUGAACAGAAGCGAAAGCUGUAUACUUAAAUGUAUUAUUAGAACAAGGACGUAAGCUAGAGGAUCGAAGAUGAUUAGAUACCAUUGUAGUUCUAGCAGUAAACUAUGUUGAAUCAUAGAUAUAUUUUGAUAUAUAUUUAUGUAGAGAAAUUAAGAUUAUAUUGACUCUUGGGAUAGUAUGAUCGCAAGAUUGAAAAUUAAAGAAAUUGACGGAAGAAUACCACAAGGAGUGGAUUGUGCGGCUUAAUUUGACUCAACGCGGGGUAAUUUACCAGGUAUAACAUGAUAUAAUAUUUUAUCAUGAUAGUGGUGCAUGGCCGUUUCCAAUGGAUGCUGUGAAGUAAUGAUUAAUUUCAACAAGAUGUGAGACCCUCAUUUAGACAGAUGUAGUGAUACAUAUGAAGGAGAGGAUUAAAACAGGUCCGUUAUGCCCUAAGAUAAUCUGGGUUGCACGCGCAAUACAAAAAUAUUUGAUAUUAUAAGGGAUAAUAUAAUGUAAGAUAUAUUUGAACAUGGAAUUGCUAGUAAAUUCUAUUAAAUAAGUAGAAUUGAAUGAGUCCCUGUUCUUUGUACACACCGCCCGUCGCUAUCUAAGAUGGUAUUAUCUAUGAACAAAUUUAUAACGUGAAUAGAUAGUACUAGAUCUGAUAUAAGUCGUAACAUGGUUGCUGUUGGAGAACCAUUAGCAGGAUCAUAAAUAAAAAAGAUGGGAUUAUUAUAAUGAAAGUGUAUGCUGACAUUAUAAUAAUCUUGUCUAUGUUCUAAAUACAAAAUACCUUCACGAGGUUCAGAAUGGGUGAUAUAAGGAGGUUAUAUUGGCUAAAUUUAUGUAUGUGAGAAAAUGAUGUUGUGAUGUUAAAAGGCGUGUGUAGUUAUGUGUAGAGAAUUUUAUUCAAGUAUAAUGUAUGUGGUUUCUGCUUUGCUUUAUACUUUUUAUGUUCAGGUAGCAUACA
rnacentral:rRNA from 1 species